GAUCAUGGCUCAGAGCGAACGCUGGCGGCAGGCUUAACACAUGCAAGUCGAACGGGCACUUCGGUGCUAGUGGCAGACGGGUGAGUAACACGUGGGAACGUACCUUUCGGUUCGGAAUAAUUCAGGGAAACUUGGACUAAUACCGGAUACGCCCUUUUGGGGAAAGAUUUAUCGCCGAUAGAUCGGCCCGCGUCUGAUUAGCUAGUUGGUGAGGUAAUGGCUCACCAAGGCGACGAUCAGUAGCUGGU
rnacentral:rRNA from 1 species